GACGAACGCUGGCGGCGUGCUUAACACAUGCAAGUCGAACGGAAAGGCCCUGCUUUUGUGGGGUGCUCGAGUGGCGAACGGGUGAGUAACACGUGAGUAGCCUGCCCUUGACUUUGGGAUAACGUCAGGAAACUGGGGCUAAUACCGGAUAGGAGCUCCUGCUGCAUGGUGGGGGUUGGAGAGUUUCGGCGGUUGGGGAUGGACUCGCGGCUUAUCAGCUUGUGGGUGGGGGAGUGGCUUACCAAGGCUUUGACGGGUAGCCGGCCUGAGAGGGUGACCGGCCACAUUGGGACUGAGAUACGGCCCAGACUCCUACGGGAGGCAGCAGUGGGGAAUAAUGCACAAUGGGCGGAAGCCUGAUGCAGCAACGCCGCGUGGGGGAUGACGGCCUUCGAGUUGUAAACCGCUUUCGCCUGUGACGAAGAGUGAGUGACGGUAAUGGGUAAAGAAGCACCGGCUAACUACGUG
rnacentral:rRNA from 1 species